CCUCCAGUCUGAGGAAACAAGACCAGCUGAGGAUCCGGCGAGGUCCUCUGCUCCAGUGUCUCCACCGUGGUCCAGACUAUCAGCUGCCACUUCAUUCCUCAUUCACCUUCACCUUUGGAUCUGCCCUAGAUGGCUCAUCUUGCCAAACUUCACACUGAAACCACUGCCAGUGAUAUCGUACGAUGUGAGCUUUAUGCAGUUGAGGGGCAAUGUCUUUCCUGUCCUUGCGACUACUCUCUCUAGACUGAGUCAAAUGCCUUGAGAGCUAAUCAUGUGCCUCCUUUUGCCAUUCUUUUUUCUGCUAUGGGUUGAAGAAUUGGGAGGCUCUCUUCUGGACCAUGCACUGGCCUUUCAAACUCUGAGUCAAUUUAAACUUCCUCUCUUAGCUGGGCGGUGGUGGGGCACGACUUCAGUCCCAGCACUCGGGAGGCAGAGGCAGGCAGAUCUCUGUGAGUCCCUUCUCUUCCUUCUCAGGUAAUAACAGAAAGCAGACUAAGACAGUCUCCAUCCAGAAACCAGGAUGAUUUCUUCUAUGGAAAACCAGGCUUUGCCACUCCCAUUUUUACCCACAACAACCUCCAUUGGGGGUCUAGUAAGAUCCAAGUUCUCAUCCAGGCCUGGGAGUCCACAUGACCAGCCCAGCGCCUGCCAUUCUCUCAUAGCCCACUGUUCCUGCACAGAUAGAUACCUAAUCUGUUCCUCUCGCACACAGCUCUUUCCUGACCCUGGGCCUUUGCACAUGCUGUUCUUCUGGCUGGAUUCUCUUCCCCUGUGUUUCUGCAGGGUUGAUGCUUUCUGAUCCUGUGUGUCCACAUGAUGGCUUUUGCCCCACCCACAGAAUGGGCACUCCGUAAGACGACUACUGGGGUGACAAGUCCUUUAUUUGCACAUAUGGUUCUGAGCCACAUUGAGACGUGAGGCGUUUGCAGCCAUUCUCCACCCCAGCCAAGUUCCCAUGUGGCAGUCUGGAAAAGAGUACACUAUGCAGUCUUCAUAGUGUCUACAUGUCCAAAUACCGUUUGCUGAGAGCCUGAGAAGAAAUGGAGCCCACAGAUGUCACCAGAGCUCAGUCACCUUAGGGCCCUUGGCCCACCACUUGGCAAGACUCUUCCAGAUCUGCAGACUUUCUGACCAAGUCUGAAAGCUCCUGUCUGCACAGAAUAUGUGGGGUGGCCCAGCAGUCACUCAGCAGGUUUGACAGAUAUAGGUGAUGGACGCCACUCCACACUCCUGAUCCCACCCCACCCCGAGACAGCCAAAGCUGCUUCUUCAUCACACAGGGACUCCUGUCCUGACACAUUCCCGUAGGCUAUGAUGGUCUGUGAGCUGUGCUCCCUCGGGCAAGUCACUCAACCUCUCCAGUCUCAAUCCCCCUUCCCCCAAAAAAGAUCAAAAGGGGCUGGCAUGGUGGUACACGCCCUCAGUCCCAGCACUUAGGAAGUAGAGGCAGGAUCUCUGUGAGCUCAAGGCUAG